CUCUGUUCUACUCCUUGCCGGGGAAGAUUGAGAUCAGGGGACCCCUGCAGUGGUCAGACCUGCUGGCACAGAGAUGUCUUAGGAGGGGCUGGAGCAGCAGGGGAGGCUAAGUAUGAGAGGUUCUGGGUUGUCCCCCACUUCCUGCCCUAUUUAAUCAACAUUGACUCUGUCUGUGGUGGGCUCCCACAUUUAAUUUGGUCAAAGGGUUCUUCCCUUGAGGUUCUGGGCAGAUAGAGCCCAGAUGUCUGGGUGGGAGGGAGCCACAGGUGGUGGAGAGACAGGAAGCGAACUCUGAAGAGUCUGGGAUGGGCAGAUUAAAACCCUAGAAACUUAAGGUCUGCCUGGACUCUGGAUGAGAUGUGAGGGGCAGAGCAGCCACGAGAAGCCUUACCAGCCCCGUGGGGAUGAGGGAAGCCAGGAAGGAGGUCUGGGUGGGGUUGGUGGUUAGAAACCUCUUGGCCUAUGGGAAGGGAGGGGCUGCAUCCCGGCCAUACAUGUUUACUGAUCAUCUCUACGGGCCUCGCACUGGGCCGGCUGGACGCUGCCCCGAGGGGGCACACAGCACUGAACUAUGUUUACUACAAGGUGCAGUGGGCUGGGGCCUUCGCCCAGGCUGGGGGCCACAGCCAACUGUUCUGGGGGUGGAAGGGACUGUGUCAGGCCUCUCUUGCUCCACACCCUUUGCAGGCUACCCCCCAGCUUACAGAUCAGGCCUGACUGGUAGUUGGAUAGGCAGCUUCCUCCCCCUCUGCUGGCUGCUGCUCUGCCCUGGGGGAGACCCGAUGCACCCGACUGGUGACCUUGGCUGGACACCUCCCUUAGUCCCUCCCUCUGCAGGCAGGGAGAAGACAGGGAAGGAAGGACCAGCUGGAUCACAGAAGGCAGACUGCAGGGGCUGCUGCACUUCCAGGGACCUGUUUUUGGGAGGUCUGAAAGUGAACAGCUUUGAGCACAAGAGCAUUGUGUGUGCAUGCACGUGUGUGCAUGCACAUGUGUGCACGUGAGUGUAUAAGACGGUCGGAGAUUCCUGGACAUUCCUGGGCACUUGUACACAGCUUGGCUCCUAUCCUCAGUGCCUAGGAGGAACUGGCUCCCUAAAGGAAGGAACGGUGAGUUAGUUUUUAAGGUGGGUGACAACCCUCUUAAGCCUCUGAUGCAUGUCUGAAACCUGCAAGGGUUUACUUAAAUCGAGCCCCCAUAUUUAGAACGGGUUUUGAGGUUGGUAUGCCAGUGAAUGAUCCUCUCCCAGGUCUUGGCAGAGCUGCUGGCACAGAGCCUGGAUGCCAGCCCACUGUCCAGCCCAGGCUGAGAUGAGCUGGAGUAGUGUCAGCCCGUGCCAGCUCACUGGGGGCAGGGCAGGCCAGGCUGCGGGAACAGAGAGGGUGUCAGCAGACCUCUGGGGGAAACCUGAGCCGAGGCCAGAUCCUGCCUGGCAGGUCUGUCACCCUCCUCGGCUUACACUCCCAGGGAAACUGGUUGUCCUGGGUGGAGACUGGCCCUGGAUAUCAGGGCCCUGAGGAUGCAGCCUUGCGAUCCCCGGGGAGAGGUAGGGCAGACAGUGGGGUGUGGCAUGGAGAUGCCCUUGGCAGAGCCCCUGGAUGAGGCUGGCCUGGGGGUUGCUGGAGAGACCAGGCUUGUGAAAGGAAGCUGGGGCCAGGAUCGAGAACUCUGGGUAUGGAGGGAUCUCUGCAGGGCCCUCUCUUAUGGGUCCUGGCCACCUUCUGUGAGGAGGAGGCUUGCAGUGUGACAACAGGAGCUGGCUGUGCCUCAGGGGCCUGGUCCACUCUCCAGCUGACUGGAUGUGCGUGACUCUGGGCAAUGCUCUUCCCCUCCCUUUCGACCCCAGCCUCCUUGGUCCUCUGGGGGCCUUUUCAGCAGUGAUCCAGCAGGAUUCCAGGUUUCCUCUCUAGAACUUCUGAGAACAGGGGAGGCUCUAGGAGGCUGGAUGCUGAGAUGCAAAGGGCAUCCUGGGAAGGGGUGGUCCGGGACAGCACCGGGGGGGAG
ensembl:lncRNA